UCUAAAACUCGAGAUAUGGGCUGAACACUGAACAGUGUUUGGUCUAUAUGACAGAUUCUGAUUUCUCCAUUGUUGCUAAGAUUUGGACUUCCAAAUAGCAGAAUUGAGUCUUGGACUCCCAUAAAUGUUUUAGGCCUAUAUCUGAGCUUUCUAGC
rfam:Populus trichocarpa scaffold_18_contig_155, whole genome shotgun sequence.